GCUUGGUACUUAGGGUCUCCAUCUUGAGUGAUCAGGAGUGGAGGGUAUGUACCAUUAGGUGGUGACAUCCUCACCAGACCGAUUUCCUAUAGUGAUGGAAGUCUUUGCUGACCAUGUUAUUAUUCAUGGUAACAAUAAGGAAAAAAAAAGGAGAAAACAACUCUGAGAAAUACAAUUACUGUAUCACGUCCUGGACUUUUCAUCCAAUGGGACCUGGGCUUCAAGGAGGAAGAAAACUAUUUGUAAGUCUGCAGUCCCUGUCUACAGCUCCACAGGUUUGAAGGCAAUGUUACAUUCAAGGGGAAUCUCUCGUCCUCCUCCACUGGAUGCUGGGGGCCCCCAGUGUGGUUGCGAAUGCCGUGGGGGGUGGAAGCUGCUUCUCUGGCACGUUGGACUGUGCAGCUGUGUUUCCUCUGUGUUGGCUCAGCCCAGCCGGAGGCUCGGCUCUCUCUUCACCGGCUUUUCAAGGGCAGGAUGGGGAUGUUUUGGGGGUCACUCUUUACCCACUCUCAGUGUGUUUUCCCGGACACAUCCUGUCAAGAUGAGGCCCAGCAGAAGGAAGAAAAUGCUUGUUGUAUGAUUGUUAAGGGAAAAAAAAAAAAAGCAUUUGACGUGAAUCAAGUAUUUUAGAAAACGGAGGGGAGAAAAGGCGAACAGCAUGGUGGGCAGAGUCAUGGUGUCUCCGCGUGUCUUACACCGAUGUGCUGAAGAAAUGAAGUUAAAAAGUCAUUAAUUAUUGUUUAGCUGGGAGCUUUGCUUCGGCUCCCCUCCUCCCUCUCCAGGCCCCCACUCUCAGAAAGACCGCCAAGAGGCGGCUCCUCCCCUGAAGCUGCUCGGAGAC